rnacentral:rRNA from 1 species
GUCCACAGUCAUACCAUCCUAAAGGCAGCAGAUCUCGUCUGAUCUUGGAAAAUAAGCAGGGUCGGGUGUGGUUAGCAUUUGAAUGGGAGAAAAAUCAUUUUUUACUAAAAGGCUUGACUCUUUGGACA